UACGAAGGGGCUAGCGUUGCUCGGAAUCACUGGCGUAAGCGCACGUAGGCGGAUUGCUAAGUCAGGGGUGAAAUCCUGGAGCUCAACUCCAGAACUGCCUUUGAUACUGGCGACCUUGAGUCCGGGAGAGGUGAGUGGAACUGCGAGUGUAGAGGUGAAAUUCGUAGAUAUUCGCAAGAACACCAGUGGCGAAGGCGGCUCACUGGCCCCGGUACUGACGCUGAGGUGCGAAAGCG
rnacentral:rRNA from 1 species